AGUACUGACUGGAAAGCUGAGGUG
rnacentral:piRNA from 1 species